rnacentral:rRNA from 2 species
CUUUUGACAACGGAUCUCUUGGUUCUCCCAUCGAUGAAGAACGCAGCGAAAUGCGAUAAGUAAUGUGAAUUGCAGAAUUCAGUGAAUCAUCGAAUCUUUGAACGCAUCUUGCGCUCCUUGGUAUUCCUCGGAGCAUGCCUGUUUGAGUGUC